rnacentral:rRNA from 1 species
GAUGAACGCUAGCUACAGGCUUAACACAUGCAAGUCGAGGGGUAACGAGAGGAAAGCUUGCUUUCCUUGUCGACGACCGGCGCACGGGUGAGUAACGCGUAUCCAACCUGCCCCCAACUAGGGAAUAACCUUGCGAAAGUAAGACUAAUACCCUAUAAUUUCCUCAGAUGUCAUCUGACGAGGAAUAAAGAUUUAUCGGUUGUGGAUGGGGAUGCGUCUGAUUAGCUUGUUGGCGGGGUAACGGCCCACCAAGGCAACGAUCAGUAGGGGUUCUGAGAGGAAGGUCCCCCACCGGGGAGAUGGGAACCGGGCCAAACUCUUACGGGAGGCAGCAGUGAGGAAUAUUGGUCAAUGGGCGGAAGCCUGAACCAGCCAAGUAGCGUGCAGGAUGACGGCCCUAUGGGUUGUAAACUGCUUUUAUACAGGAAUAAAGUUAGCCACGUGUGGUUAUUUGUAGGUACUGUAUGAAUAAGGACCGGCUAAUUCCGUGCCAGCCGCCGCAGUAA